rnacentral:rRNA from 1 species
CCCAUGUGAACUUAUACCAUUUACAACCGUUGCUUCGGCGGGUUCUCGCCCCGGGCUUUACACCCCGGAACCAGGCGGCCCGCCGGGGGACCCAAACUCUAGAUUUAUAUUUUAGCAUGUCUGAGUGGAAUCAUUACAAAAUGAAUCAAAACUUUCAACAACGGAUCUCUUGGUUCUGGCAUCGAUGAAGAACGCAGCGAAAUGCGAUAAGUAAUGUGAAUUGCAGAAUUCAGUGAAUCAUCGAAUCUUUGAACGCACAUUGCGCCCGCCAGUAUUCUGGCGGGCAUGCCUGUUCGAGCGUCAUUUCAACCCUCAAGCCCCAGCGGUUUGGUGUUGGGGACCGGCGAGUACAGAGGCUUUGGGGACUUGUCCCCCUUCCCUCGGCGCCGCCCCCGAAAUGAAUUGGCGGUCUCGUCGCGGCCUCCUCUGCGUAGUAGCACAACCUCGCAUCAGGAGCGCGGCGCGGCCACUGCCGUAAAACGCCCAACUUUUUUUAAGAGUUGACCUCGAAUCAGGUAGGAAUACCCGCUGAACUUAAGCAU